GCCUGAUUAGCUCAGUCGGUAGAGCAUGAGACUUUUAAUCUCAGGGUCAUGGGUUCGAGCCCCAUAUCAGGCU
rnacentral:tRNA from 1 species